GGGCAGCAGUGAGGAAUAUUGGUCAAUGGGCGCAAGCCUGAACCAGCCAUGCCGCGUGCAGGAUGACGGUCCUAUGGAUUGUAAACUGCUUUUAUACGAGAAGAAACACUCCAACGUGUUGGAGCUUGACGGUAUCGUAAGAAUAAGGAUCGGCUAACUCCGUGCCAGCAGCCGCGGUAAUACGGAGGAUCCAAGCGUUAUCCGGAAUCAUUGGGUUUAAAGGGUCCGUAGGCGGUUAGAUAAGUCAGUGGUGAAAGCCCAUCGCUCAACGGUGGAACGGCCAUUGAUACUGUUUAACUUGAAUUAUUAGGAAGUAACUAGAAUAUGUAGUGUAGCGGUGAAAUGCUUAGAGAUUACAUGGAAUACCAAUUGCGAAGGCAGGUUACUACUAAUGGAUUGACGCUGAUGGACGAAAGCGUGGGUAGCGAACAGGAUUAGAUACCCUAGUAGUC
rnacentral:rRNA from 1 species